AGGGAAUCUUCGGCAAUGGACGAAAGUCUGACCGAGCAACGCCGCGUGAGUGAAGAAGGUUUUCGGAUCGUAAAACUCUGUUGUUAGAGAAGAACGUUGCAUAGAGUGGAAAAUUAUGCAAGUGACGGUAUCUAACCAGAAAGGGACGGCUAACUACGUGCCAGCAGCCGCGGUAAUACGUAGGUCCCGAGCGUUGUCCGGAUUUAUUGGGCGUAAAGCGAGCGCAGGUGGUUUAAUAAGUCUGAUGUAAAAGGCAGUGGCUCAACCAUUGUGUGCAUUGGAAACUGUUAGACUUGAGUGCAGUAGAGGAGAGUGGAAUUCCAUGUGUAGCGGUGAAAUGCGUAGAUAUAUGGAGGAACACCGGUGGCGAAAGCGGCUCUCUGGACUGUCACUGACACUGAGGCUCGAAAGCGUGGGUAGCAAACAGGAUUAGAUACCCUG
rnacentral:rRNA from 1 species